rnacentral:lncRNA from 1 species
AACGUUUAAAACAGUGUACUGAAUCUCAAAACUUCGCUAAAUAUACUGAGUAUGAAACAUAAGUUUUAAAUUAAAUAUAUGAAAUUGAAAGACUCUAAAAAUUGUCUAUCUAUGAAGCCUCUACUAUACAAAAAUGAGUGUCAGGACAAGACCCACGACUCCUCAAAAGAAUUACUACUAACAAUAAAACUGGAGUCCUCCGGAAGCAAGGAGGUCUUACUCAAAAGCUGACGAGUGGAUGAAGGGAUCUCAACAUACUCUUGUUAAGGAUCUUAAGAACAUGUACCCGCAUCAUUAAAAGAUCCAGGUUGAAUAACAUCAAUACAUUGAAUGUUCGAGUAUGUAAUAUAGUUGAAUAACAAAUAACUGAAAGAAAGGACUGCUCUCGUCUGUGGUGCCAGUCCAACAAUCUGGUGGUCCAGCAGCCUCGGCUCGCCUUGCGCUACUUUCAGAAAAUAAAAAAUAAAAAAUAGAAAGUAAUAGAAAGUAGAAUUCCUGAGUCUGGCAAUAAAUAACAAUGAACUCAAGUUGAAUGUAAAUAAAUAAAGGAGUAAAAUCAUUUAAAGUUUUUCAAAAUACUUUCUCAUCUCUUAACUCAACAUAAUAAGUGAUAUAUAAAAAUACACUUUAACUCUAUUGGGAGAUUCUCUAACUGACAACCAUCACUAUGAGCUACAUGAUGAUACAACGUCUCGCCCACACUGCCAGAACUGUCAUAUACCUUGUCGGCGUAUAGAACACCUCAACUAAGUGGAUCCACUAAGCUAUGCUUAAAAGCAAUAAUGAAUCACCUAAUAAGUAUGACCUUUUACUAAUGUUGGCAUACAUGGUUUAUGGGGGUUGUGACUUGUCUGAACUCUCUCCCAUAUCAGUGCUCAAUACUACUCCCAAUAAUAUAUACUCAUGCUCAUAUGUUUGAAAAAACAUAACUCUUCCUCUGGAUUGAGAUAAUUUCUCAAACUACCUUCUUAAAAGAGGUAACUGCUCUUGAAAUAACUUUUGAACUCAUAACUCAUUUAGAAAUCUCAGUUUCUCUUUUAUCAAUGUAAAAAUUGAUGCCUCUAGGAAUACAUAGUCCCCUUAUAUUCAUACUUGAAAACUCUUUCUCAAAAAAAUAAAAAUCAUAUUAUAAUAUGAUCAUUGAUGACUUGGGAAGUCAUAUACUGCAUAAGCAUUAAUGGUAUAUCUAGAUACCAUACUGCUUAAACAUUGAUGGCAUACUCGGUUGUCAUACUAAUCAUGUUUUAGAAAUUCUUUCUUCAAAACUCAUCUUUACUUCCUCAAAACUCAGUUUAAAACUCAAGUGUUGGCUUUAAAAAACUUGUCAAAAUUUAUAACUCAAUUCAUAGGGUUCAUGCGGAAUUAUGGGCAUGAACGAUUCAAAUCAGGGAUCUUAAGAGCAAUAUGAAAACUUAGUACUCAGAACUCAAGAACUCAAAACUCAACAAUAUUACUCAUCUCAUGAAUACUCAAUUCAUAGGGUUCAUGUUGAAAUAUAGACAUGAACGAAUCAAUUCGAGAAUCUUAAUGCAUAACAUAUAGAAAUUAAAUAAUUAGGAAUAGAAUUUGAAAAAGAAAUAGGAACUCAAGAACUCAAAAUCAACUUAUCUCAAGAAUACUCAAAUCUAGGGAUAUAAUCCUAGAUUACUCUUUUACUGAUUUGAAAGUAGAUGUAGGGCGUGAGGACGAAUUAGUCCAACACUAUGAUAGCCUUACAUACCUGGAAGAACAAGGUUCAUGAAGAGUCUUGAAGAAGAACUUGAUUAGAAGCCUUGAAAUCCUAGCUUAAAGGAGAAAAAGCAAGAAGACCUUUCUUGAGAUUUCUUGAAUUAGUUUCUUGAAACUUUAUGAUCAAGAAUUAGGAUUCUCAUUAAUGAUUCAUAAUUGCAUGAAGAAAAUUGAGUUGGAAAGAAUGGAAUUCUUGGAGAAAGACUUAUCUUGAAGAAGAAUCUUGAAAAAAUUGAAAGAAUCUCGAAUGGAGUCUUCUACUUUGAUUUUUCCCUUAGGGUUUUGUCUUAUGGUUUGAGAGAGAAGAGAAUGGGGGAUUAAGAUAUGAAAAUUUGAUUGGUUUUGGUCUUUAAUUAGUCAAGAAAUUAUUUUAGUGUUUUCUUAGAGGUAAAAAGACAAAAAAAGACCCUUUUUAAUGAUUUUAUGUCGGCUAAUUCAUCACUGCACUGUAGCAAAUUACUUGUAAUGACCCUCCUGGUCAUUUCUAUGUUUUGCCUUGGUGUGUCGUUUAGAGCGUUCCUGUAGCGAUCUCAAGUCAUUUAUGACUUGCUGGGACUGACAGUUCGGUCACCUGGUUGUUCGUUUGACUUUUGUGUGAGUUUUAGUGUUUUUGGAGCUUAUGAACCUUGAAUGAUCGUUUUCGAUCAAAAGUUCAAGAAGAUGACAUCAGAAUUCAAUUCUAACAAUUCCAUCAGCUCCAAAAGGGUCAUUUUAGGCUAGUAGCAUAGUCGACAUCACUCCCGAGGUUUUCAGUGUGAGUCGGUGCGAUUAGGCGUUUUAACUUUAAGUUUAAGCCUAAGUCUGACUUUAGUCAACAUUCUGAGUAAACACACUCGGAUGAGAAUUUCGUCAGAGCAGUUAGCUCCGAAAUGUCGAGUUUGGUCUAGAUUGACCCUUCUUUUGUGUCUCGAGGUUUCCGAUAUUUUUAAGACCCCUUUUGUGGUUUCUAACUUAAAAUGACAUUUGAGUGUGGAACCCACUUUUGUCAAGAUGACCUCUUUGGAAAUUUUGACUGCGCCAUUGAGUCCGGAAUAUCAAAUUUGGUAUGGUUGUAUAUCUCGUUUGCGUGCACGGGGUUCCGAACGAUAUUGGAGCACCCUGUCGGAGUUUUAAGUUUUGGAAAGAAAUUGCAGAAAAAUCUGCUAUAAAUGCAGAAAAUAUAAGCAGCCCUUUCCAAACCUAAAACACUCAUAACUCUCUCAUCUCUCAACCGAAUUAGGCAAUUCGAAGUACGGGAGCUUCGUAUUUUCGGUGGCUUCACUGUAGAGUGUUCGGAAGUUGUCGGGUGUGCGUCGUUCGAGAUAAAUUUGGUUAUAAACCUGACUGUUAGGGCCUUUUUCGAGUUUUUGUUUUUGGCAUCCUUGUUUUGGUCAUAUCUCACUCAUUUUAGCUCGAUUUUGGGUGAUUCAAAGUCUCACGUGUUGGGAAUUGUCGUGAAUUUGUCGUAGAGUGUUCAAGGAAUGUUGGGCACCUUUCGAUUCUCAUAACUUUUGAGUUUAGACUGCUGCAUGUUUUCUUUUAAGUUGAUUAAAGUGUGAUUUUUCCUUGCAUGUUGGGUUUUGCUGCGUUUUGUGCCCCGAAUUGUGUUCCAUUUUGGAACACAAGUUCGGGGUAUUGUUUUGGGUCUCUUGACGGAGUCAAAUACGAACAGUUCGGUGCGGGUACCACGAUUCCCAUUUUGAUCCAAAUUUGACCCAUCUCUGUUUGUUGUGAUUUUUGUGUCUAAACGACUGUACUAACGUUGUGAUCCUAUAUUUGAUAGAGUGGCAGCGUUUAAGGGUCGUUCGGGAAGGAAAAGCUCCGACAAAGUGAUUUAGAGCACGCGCGGUCGGCCUGAAGGUAGGCUACGACUUCCUUUCUUUUAGAUUGAGCUUAAUUAUGUAAAAGCAUGUCGAUUGGAGUGAAUUGGGGAUGGGUACCAGUUUCCUACUUUACUUUGAUUAGAUACCUUAUAUUAGUAUCGAUUGGCCAUAUUUCAGGGUAGUAUCAUGUUAACCGGUUUAGUAGAGUUGCAUGCCUAUGUGUUAAAUGCUAUUGUAUGCUUGUAUGCUAUGCGUUAUAUGCCUUGUUUAUCCUUAACUGUAAGAAUGAUGUCCUCAGUCUAGGUUAGGCUAGCAUUGCCUUAGACUUAUGACCCGUGUGGAAUGGAUAGUCUUGACUUUCUGCCAACGUUGUUCGGAUAACUUAGCUCUUUGUAGACUGGAGUAGCAGACUUGAGUCUGAUAGUUUGAGCCUUAGAUUAGGCGUUAUCGCUGCUUGCUGCACUUCUGUAUCUUCUCCUUCUAGUCCCGACGCAUUCUCGAAGGUUUGGUACAUCACUAAAGGUGUGGAGUUGAGAUAGUAUAGGCUUGGAGCCUUUUCUGUGAUUUCUUAGAGUGGAGAGCGUUCCAUGGUGGUUCUUGUUGGAUUGGAUCCUAUUAGAGAUACCAUCACCCAUGGGGUCGUUCUUUCUAGCUGGGCUAGGAGAGUAUCGCUGGCUGGGUAGACUCGGUGAUAUGAGCGAUCUCCCUCGGGCCUCUCUUUCUAGCUGGGCUGGGAGUGUGCUGCUGGCUGGGUGUCCCCGGGUCGCUCUUUCUAGUUGGGAUGGGAGCUGAUUGCAUGGUAGGACGACUCGCGAUAUCUACCUCACUCACGGGUCCCUCUUUCUAGCUGGGCUGGGAGUGGACUGUUUGGUUGGGUGCCUCCUAGGGUCACUCUUUCUAGCUGGGCUGGGAGUGCAUUGCUGGCUUGGUGGAGUUUGAUGGAUUAUCUUGGUUACUUUGGGCUGGGAGCCCGGUUUUCUUCUUUCUCAUUAGACUUAGUUAUUCUGUGUACCUGUCGGGCUUAUGGGCGUCCGUUCAGGUUUUAUUUAAACUUAUGCACUAGUGUACCUUCUGGGUUUAUGGGGGUCUAGUAUGCUCAUGUGCUUUUUUUUCAUAUCCCCUUUGACUUUUCUGUGUCUAGAUGCCAUCAUUUCUUAUUGUUUUUACCCUUUUUGCUGAGUCGGCCUAUGAUGCCUACUGAGUACAUGUUGUUUUGGUACUCAUGCUACGCUCUGCAUCUACUUCGUGAUCUAGGUCCCAAUACCAGUUACCAGCGGUGAUUAGUUCCAGUUUUCUUUUGCAGCUGUGAUUAGGAGAUGAGGGCGAGCACUUGGCGUUUUGGGUUUGUCUUGUCUCCUUCUUUUGUUUUAACUAGUCUUGUUGCCUUUGAGACACGCUUUGUUGUGGUCCACUUUUGGGACUUGUACUCUUUAUUAGAUAGCUCUGUACUAGUGACUUCCAGGUUCUGGGAGGGAUUUCUGUAUAUAUUUAUUUUGGUUUUCUUCCGCCUUGUUGUCCUUGUUUAGAUUAUUAUUUUCUCUAGUUUCUGCCCUUUCGCUCAUUGCUUGAUGUUGUGGGUUACGGGUUGGCUUACCUACUGGUAGGGCACUAUGGUGCCAUCAUGACUCGAGAAAUCGGGUCCUGACAAGUUGGUAUCAGAGCCCCAGGUUCAUCGGUCUCACUUGUACUGAGCUAACGUCUAGUAGAGUCCUGCGGAUCGGUGCGGAGACGUCCGUAACUUAUCUUCGGGAGGCUACAGGAUGUCUUUAGGAAGAUUUCCUCUUUUGUUUCACUUUCGUGCAACGUGUGUCUUAUCGGUUCUUUGAAAUCUCACUUGUUUCACUAUUUCGCAGGAUAGCUCGAUCGCGAGGUGGCAAGGCCAGGUGUGAUGCACCCGGGCCUGUAGAUAGACCCCCAGCUUGGGGUAGACGCCGACCCCAAGGUCGAGACAGGGUCACAGCACCAGCCCAGGAGAGAGAUGAAGAUCCAGAGCCAGUAGCAGACCCUCCAGCACCUCGUAUACCAGAUCAGCCGGUGGGGCCGAGGCCAGCCCAACCGGCACCCGGACUAGUUUGGACUCCAGAUUUCCAGGAAGCUAUUGCUCAGCUCCUGGGUGUGCUUGGGGUUAUGCAGCAUCCACCCGCCCUAGCUACACCAGCACUAGUACCGCAGGAUCAGCCUACAGUGAGGGCGCCUCAGGUCCAGGUACCACCUGAGGGAGUACAUCCCUUGGCAGCGAACAUACCUAUCCCGCUUGAGGACCAGAAAAUGCUUGGUGUGUUUCUCAGGUUGAUGCCACCGAGGUUUUCUGGGGCUGUGGGUGAGGAUGCCCACGAGUUUCUUACUACCUUCCGUGAGAGGCUUCGCACUUUGGGUCUAGUGGAGUCUAGAGGGGCCAACUUCAUUGCUUACCAGCUAGAUAGGCCAGCCAGGCAAUGGUGGCGCACAUUCAUUCAGACUAGUCUAGUUAGAUCUCCACCGGUAUCAUGGGAUCAGUUUUCUCAGGCAUUCUUGGCCAAGUUUAUCCCUCGUAGCGUCAGAGACCGCCUCAGGGAUCAGUUCUACAGGUUGGAGCAAUGCUCCAUAUCGGUGGCAGAGUACGAGACUAGGUUCCACGAGCUCUCUCGUCAUGCCUAGAUGAUAUUACCUACAGAAGAUGAUAGAGUUAGGUGCUUUGUUCGUGGGUUGAGAUUACAGCUUCGACUUGAGUCCAAGUCCUUAGUUUCUGCGAGUCAAUCUUUUUUAGACGUAGUUGACCAUGCCAGUACUAUGGAGCAUCUUCGUCGCGAGGCCCAAGAGGGCAGAAAGAAGAGGACUAGGCAUGAGGGCAGCUACAAUGACUUCUGCCCCAAGUCUAGGGAUUAUUAUGAUAGGACCGGACGACGGUUUCGACAGGGUCAGUUUAGCCGGCCUACCCAGGCCUCUCUUCAGGUAUCAGAUGGUGGUCGGAGCGAGGCCAGUUCAAGUUAGGGCCGUGAGGUGUUUCAGUAGGGUUCUUUAGGCCAUGGUGGUCAUUGUUCUGGGAGUCGUCCUCGACAGGGUUGCUAUGAGUGUGGUGAGAUGGGUCAUUGGGCCAGGGACUACCCUCAGCAUAGUCGGAUUGCUCCCGCUCCUCAGGCAGCUCCCCCAUCUUUACCAGCACCUCCAGCUAGAGGCCGUGGUCAAGGUCAGGAUCGUAGAGGUGGUCAUCAGGGUAUACGGGGUGGUCACCGAGGAAGCAGGUCAGGUGAUAGGUUUGAUGGUCAGGGCAGAGGCAGACAUAACCAUUUCUAUGCAGCUCCAACGAGGGUGGAGGCUGAGGAGUCAGACGAUGUGAUCAUAGGUACGAUUCUUUUAUGCCAGCAGCCCGCCUUGGCAUUAUUUGAUUCGGGCUCUACUUUUUCAUAUUUUUCUAUUUACUAUGCCUCUCGCUUUAGUAUUAUAUCUGAGCCUCUGGUAGCAUCGUUGCAUAUGUCGACCCCCGUGGGUGAGUCAUUAGUAGUGGAUCAGGUAUUUCGAUCUUGCUUAGUUACUAUCCAGGCAUGACACCCGGGCUAACCUCAUAUUGCUUGACAUAGUUGAUUUCGAUAUGAUUAUAGGAAUGGAUUGAUUAUCCCCUUAUUGCGUCGUUUUAGAUUGCUUCUUUAAGACCUUUACCUUAGUCAUUCUUGGUAUUCCUCCGGUGGUGUGGCAGGGAUCUGGUGGUAGCACACCAGUUGGGGUUAUCUCUUUUAUUCGGGCUAGGAGGCUAGUGGCUAGCAGAUGCUGAUCAUAUUUGGCAUUUGUGCGUGAUGUGAGUAGGGAGGUCCCUCCGGUUGAGUCAGUUAGUGUUGUUCAUGACUUCUUAGAUGUGUUUUCUACCGACCUACCUGGCCUAACCCAAGAGCGUGAUAUUGAUUUUUCGAUUGAGCUUGAGUUGGGUAUUCGACCUAUUUCUAUUUCGCCAUAUCGGAUGGAUCCUGCAGAGCUCAAGAAGCUAAGAGUUCAGUUUCAGGAUCUCUUGGGUAAGGGAUUUAUCAGUCCUAGUGUAUCACCUUGGGGCUCUCCUGUUCUUUUUGUUAAGAAGAAGGACGGUACGAUGCGCAUGUGCAUUGACUAUAGGCAGUUGAAUAAGGUGACAAUGAAGAAUCGAUAUCCUCUGCUUCGGAUUGAUGACCUAUUUGACCAGCUACAUGGAGCUUCAGUGUUCUCUAAGAUUGAUUUGAGGUCCGGUUACCACCAGUUGAGGAUUAGGGCAGCGGACAUCCCUAAGACUGCAUUUAGGACCCAUUAUGGCCAUUAUGAGUUCUUGGUGAUGUCAUUUGGGUUGACUUAUCCCUCUGCUGCCUUUGUGAACUUGAUGACGCGCGUGUUUAGGCCUUAUCUUGAUUCCUUCGUCAUAAUCUUCAUUGAUGACAUUUUGAUAUACUCGCGGAGUAGGGGUGAUCAUGAGCAGCAUUUAAGAGUUGUGCUCCAGACUUUGAGAGAUUAGCGGAUUUAUGCCAAGUUCUCAAAGUGCCAGUUUUGGUUAGACUCUAUAGUGUUCUUGGGGCACGUUGUAUCCAAGGAGGGCAUUAUGGUAGAUCCGGCGAAUAUUGAGGCUAUUCGUGAUUAGGCUAGGCCUACCUCAGUUAUUGAGAUUCGGAGCUUCAUCGAACUAGCAGGCUACUACAGACGAUUUGUGGAGGGUUUCUCUACCUUGGCAGCACCUUUGACCCGGUUGACUUGUGUUGAUGUUCCCUUUGUUUGGUCAAAGGAAUGUGAGGCGAGCUUUUUGAGGCUCAAGGAGUAAUUGACCACCGCUCCUAUAUUGACUCUUCCAGUUGAGGGCGAGGGCUUCACAGUUUAUUGUGACGCAUCCAGCGUUGGUUUUGGUUGUGUAUUGAUGCAGCAGGGCCGUGUUAUUGUUUAUGCGUCGAGGCACUUAAGAUUCAUGAGCGCAACUACCCCACCCAUGACUUGGAGUUGGCGGCGGUAGUUUUCGCACUUAAGAUUUGGAGGCACUACUUGUAUGGAGUUCGAUGUGAGAUCUAUACCGAUCAUAGGAGUCUUAGUAGAUCAUGAGCCAGAGGGACCUUAAUUCGAGGCAGCGUCAUUGGAUUGAGCUCCUGAAGGACUACGACCUCUCUAUUAUUUAUCAUCCAGGCAAGGCAAUGUGGUAGCGAACGCCUUGAGCCGGAAGGCGGUGAGUAUGGGUAGUCUAGCCUUCUUAUCUCUUGAGGAUCGACUCUUGGCUUUGGACAUUUAGUUCUUAGCUAAUAGCAUGGUUCUGUUGGAUAUCUCAGAUUCUAGAUGCGUCUUGGAGUAUAUGGGAGUUCAAUCUUCUUUGCUUGAUAGGAUCCGUGGUUGUCAAUUUGAGGAUGAGGCCUUGGUGGUCCUUAGAGAUCGAGUAUUAGCAGGUGAUGGUGGUCAGACUACCUUAGAUCCUGAUGGAGUGUUGAUAUUCGUCGGCCGCAUCUAUGUUCCGAGAGUUGGGGAUUUGAUACAGUUGAUACUUUCUAAGGAUCAUGAGUCUAGAUACUCUAUCCAUUCGGGCACAACGAAGAUGUAUCGUGAUUUGAGGCAGCAUUACUUGUGGAGUGGCAUGAGGAGAGAUAUUGCUGACUUUGUUUCCCGUUGCUUGUGCUUCCAACAGGUAAAGGCCGAGCAUUUGAGGCCUGGUGGUGAGUUUCAGAGAUUACCCAUUUCGGAGUGGAAGUGGGAUCGCAUUACUAUGGAUUUUGUGGCUGGCUUACCGCGGACUUCUAGAGGUGUUGAUAGCAUUUGGGUCAUCGUAUAUUGAUUGACCAAGUCAGAACGUUUCCUUCCUAUUCAGUCUUCAUUUAGCGCCGAGAGGUUAGCUCGUAUCUACAUUCGGAAGGUGGUUCGACUUCAUGAGGUGCCAGUUUCUAUUAUAUCAGAUCGGGGUUCUCAGUUCACGUCUAGCUUUUGAGGGACCUUUCAGGAUGAGUUGGGCACUCGAGUUGACCUUAAGGUGGUUCGACUUCAUGAGGUGCCAGUUUCUAUUAUAUCAGAUCGGGGUUCUCAGUUCACGUCUAGCUUUUGAGGGACCUUUCAGGAUGAGUUGGGCACUCGAGUUGACCUUAGCACAACUUUCCACCUGUAGAUUGAUGGUCAGUCGGAGUGUACUAUUCAUGUCCUUGAGGACAUGCUGCGGGCUUGUGUUUUGAAAUUUGGUGGUCAUUGGGACCAGUUCUUGCCAUUGGCGGAGUUUGGGUAUAACAACAGCUACCAUUCUAGCAUUCAGAUGGCCUCGUUCGAGGCCUUGUAUGGUAGGCGUUGUCGCUUUCCGGUGGGCUGGUUUGAGUCUACAGAGCCUAGGCCGCGGAGUACAUAUUUGAUUCAAGAGUCUUUGGACCAGGUGAGAGUGAUUAAGGAUAGACUUAGGACGGCUCAGAGUAGGCACCAGAGUUGUGCAGAUCGGAGGCGGUCGACCUUUGAGAUUCUUUGUUGGUGAUCGGGUAUUUCUCCGUGUGUCACCCAUGAAGGGCUUGAUGAGGUUUGGGAGGCGGGGCAAGCUUUGCCCCAGGUACAUUGGGCCUUUUGAGAUACUCCGGACAGUUGGGGAGGUUGCUUAUGAGUUGGCCCUACCUCCAACAUUUUCAACCAUCCACCCGAUUUUCCAUGUCUCGAUGUUGCGCCGGUAUGUUACUGAUGAGUCCCAUGUGCUCCAGUAUGAUGCAGUCGAGUUGGAUGACCGUUUGACAUUUGUAGAGGAGCCAAUUGCCAUUCUAGCCAGUGAUGUGAGGAGGUUGUGCUCGAGAGCCAUUCCUAUUGUUAAGGUCCAUUGGAUGCAUCGUCCAGUCGAGGAGGCUACCUGGGAGACCAAGCAGGAGAUGCGAGAGCAGUUUCCCAGCUUGUUUGAGCCUUCAGGUACUUCUUGACCCUUACUUUCGCGGACGAAAGUCCUUCUUAGUAGUGGAUAUUGUAAUGACCCUCCUGGUCAUUUCUGUGUUGUGCCUUCGGUGUUUCGUCUAGAGCGUUCCUGUAGCGACCCCAAGUCAUUUAUCACUUGCUGGGACUUACAGUUCGGUCAACUGGUCGUUCGUUUGACUUUUGUGCGAGUUUUAGUGUUUUUGGAGCAUAUGAACCUUGAACGAUCAUUUUCGAUCAAAAGUUUAAGAAAAUGACAUCAGAAUCCAAUUCUAACGAUUCCAUCAGCUCUGGAAGGGUCAUUUUAGGCUAGUAGCAUGGUCGGCAUGACUCCCGAGGAUUUCAGUGUGAGUCAGGGCGAUUAGGCGUUUUAACUUUAAGUUUUAAAGCCUAAGUUUGACUUUAGUCAACAUUCUGAGUAAACACGCUUGGAUGAGAAUUUCGUCAGCGCGGUUAGCUCCGGAAUGUCGAGUUUGGUCUAGAUUGACCCUUCUUUUGUGUCCCGAGAUUUCUGAUAUUUUUUCGAGCCUUUUCUGUUAUUUCUUAGAGUGGACGGUGUUCCAUGGUGGCUGUUGUUGGAUUGGAUCCUAUUAGAGAUAUCAUCACCCAUGGGGUCGUUCUUUCUAGCUGGGCUGGGAGAGUAUCGCUGGCUGGGUAGACUCGGUGAUAUCAGCGAUCUCCCCCGAGCCUCUCUUUCUAGCUGGGUUGGGAGUGUGCUGCUGGCUGGGUGUCCCCGGGUCACUCUUUCUAGCUGGGAUGGGAGCUGACUGCAUGGUAGGACGACUCGCGAUAUCUACCUCACUCACGGGUCCCUCUUUCUAACUGGGCUGGGAGUGGACUGUUUGGUUGGGUGCCCCCUAGGGUCUCUCUUUCUAGCUGGGCUGGGAGUGCAUUUCUGGCUUGGUGGAGUCUAAUGGAUUAUCUUGGUUACUUUGGGCUGGGAGCCCGGUUUUCUUCUUUCUCAUUAGACUUAGUUAUUCUGUGUACCUGUCGGGCUUAUGGGGGUCCGUUCAGGUUUUAUUUAAACUUGCGCACGAGUGUACCUUCUGGGCUUAUGGGGGUCCAAUUAGGUUUAGUUUAGUUGUACUUAGUUUAUUUCUGGUAUGCUCGUGUGCUUUCUUUUCAUAUCCAUUUUGACCUUUGUGUGUCUAGAUUAUAUCCUUUCUUAUUGUUUUUACCCUUUUUGCUCAGUCGGCUUGUGAUGCCUACUGAGUACCUAUUGUUUUGGUACUCAUGCUACGCUCUGCAUCUACUUCGAGAUGCAGGUCCCAGUACCAGUUACCAGCGGUGAUUAGUUCCAGCCUUCUUUUGCAGCUGUGAUUCGGAGACGAGGGCAAGUACUUGGCGUUUUGGGUUUGUCUUGUCUCCUUCUUUUGUUUUAGCUAGUCUUGUUGCCUUUGAGACACGCUUUGUUGUGGUCCACUUUUGGGACUUGUACUCUUUAUUAGAUAGCUCUGUACUAGUGACUUCCAGGUUCUGGGAGUGAUUUCUGUAUAUAUUUAUUUUGGUUUGCUUCCGCCUUGUUGUCCUUGUUUAGAUUAUUGUUUUUGGUAGUUUCUGCACUUUCGCUCAUUGCUUGAUGUUAUGGGUUACCGGUUGGUUUACCUACUGGUAGGGCAUAGUAGGUGCCAUCAUGACUCGAGAAAUUGGGUCGUGACAUUACUAAAAUAGUCAAAGCUUUUUACUCAAAACUUGAAUUGACGCUAAAUUGGUGGCUUUGGAAAAAAAACUCAAAUACCUUUAAUUUGAUAGCCACGUAACUCUUUAUAUUCUAAGAGAUAUAUUAAUCGGUAAGGAAACUUUCAAAUCAACUUUGUGCUAAGAGAUUCUAGUGACCUUAAUUCAUAUCCAAAUUCAUUCACACACUAAAGAAUUGACCUUAACACCUAAAAAAAUUAAGAGUCACUUAGUACGACCUUAUACACAAUUCAAGAAUGGUUAGGAGCUUAAGUUAGAAAUUUUUUGGGUGUUACAAUAAUUUUGACGGUUUCAUCAGCUCUGAAAGCGCCAUUUUAGGCUAGGGGCAUUGUUGGUUUGAGCCCCGAGACUUCAGGUGUAAGUUUCUGCCGUUAGGCGUUUUAACUUAGAAGCUUAAGUCAAGGGUUGACAUUGGUCAAUAUUCUUGGUAAACGUGCUCAGAUGAGAAUUUCAUCAGUGCGGUUAGCUCAGAAAUGUCGAGUUUGGUCUAGAACAACCUCUCGUGCGGUUCCCUAGGCUUUUGGUCUCAUUUUGAGUCUUCUUGUGGUUUUAAAAUGGAACUUGAGUGUAAGACCCAUUUUUCAUAGAAAUAACCUCGGAUGAGAGUUUUGAUGGGCUCGUUGAGUCUGAAAUAUCGAAUUUGAUGGGGUAGAAUAUUUUGUUAGCACACACGGGGUUCCGAACGAAUCUUGGACACCCCAUUAGAGAAUUCGGAGCAAACUGUUGAUAUCUGGUGCAGGUUUUUAGCGACCAAAUAUCAAACUUAGAGUCCAAAUUUGGGUAUAUAUAACCCAAAAAUUUCAGCUUUAAGCCCUCAUUUUCAAAUGGCAAUUUCUCCCUCAUCCAAGCUCUGAUUUGAGUAAUUCGAAGUCUUGUGUGAUCGCAGGGAGCGUGGAUACUUGGGUUUGUGAUUAGAAAUUGUCAAAGAACCUUUGUUUGAGGUAAAUUUUAGCUCGAAGCUACUGUCUUAGCUUGGUUUUCUUAUUAAUUUUGCAUGUGGUGGUUUGGGCUAUUCCGAGCAUGGAAUUGAUCCCCGUUUCGGGGCACAAGCUCAACUAGUCGAUUAGGUCCUUUUGACGGAGUCAAUUUCAAAAUUCCAUGUGUGGGUCUCACAUUCUCAUUUUGACUCCAUUUUGGCUCCAUUUUCAAUUGUUCCAAUUUCAGUGUCAAAAUGCAUGUGAUGACGUUGUGAUUGAUAAUUUUAUCGUUUAGCAGUGUUCGGAGGCAUUUAGGAUGCGGAUAACAGUUUUACAUUGAAAAAGAGAAACUUUGAUUUCUAAAAAGAGUAAUGAGUUUAGAGAUUAAUUCAGAGCAGUUACUUUUUUUAAGAGGACAUUUUGUGUAAUUACCUUAAAUUGAGAAAGAAUAUGUUUUAGACAUUUGAGCAUGAGUAUAUAUAUUUAUUGGGAGUAGUAUUGAGAACCGAUAUGGGUAUGAGUUAUGACAACUCACGUUCCUCAUAAACCAUGUAGCCAACAUGGGUAAAUGAUCGUACUUUUUAGAUGACUCCUUAUUGCUUUCGAGCAUAGCUUAGUGGAUCCACUUAGUUGAGGUGUUCUAUACCCCGACAAGGUAUAGGACAAUUUUAAAAGUGUGGGCGAGACGUUGUAUCAUCACAUAACUCACAAUGAUGGUUGUCGGUUAGAGAAUCUCCCAAAUAAGAGUGAAGAGUAACUUAUUGUAUUUUUAUACACAUCUUUGUGUUAGUAUCUUUUAUUAAUGAAACUUUAAACAUUUCAUCUUUUGUUAUUGCUUUGUUAUACUAAUCUUGAUUAUUUAUUCAAGUGUACCAAAAGAAUUUACCUUAUUAGAAUGCAAGAAUAAAAGACGUAUACUAAUGAUUGGGGAAAUUUAAGGGCAGCAGCUUACUUAGAAUUCAUGCAUGGUAUCUUCUUCUAUGGACUUCAAUUAGUUAUCAAAAUCGCUGAUUUACAAGGUUAAAUGUAUGAUCAUGGUCUCUCGACCUCUUGGCAGUCUAACUACAUCGUUGAUCGGGGAUAAACUGAAUCAAUUGCGGGGCAUUAAGUUAUCAUCUUGUUUAGUAACCAAGCAAUGUCUCUAGGUAUAUCCCUAUCCUAGAUACAAAUCAACCCUAAUUCUAGAGAAGAUCGUGCUCUUUUUGUCCCACGUUCUAUCCUCAUAUUCCUCUCCCUAGUUCAAUUGAGACAAUAUAUUUAUUUCAAUGGUGGUCACUCACAAAAUACUAAAAUAAGAACAAAAGAGCAUUUUAUGCGAUGACAAUUUUUAAUACAUAAAAUUCAAUACUAUACAAUCAUCAUGUAGCCACAACCCUAGAACAAAGGUCUUCAGUUACUAAUGCCUAAGAAGAGAAAAAAUAAGAAAAGAAUCCUAAAAAAGUAUCGACAACGUAUCCUUCCAAAGUCUCCGUAUAUCCUCCAAUAAUUAUUCUUAUGGACUAUUUAUAAAUGUAGAAAACCCUAAAAAAAAAUAGUAGAGUCCAAACAAAUUGGGAAAGCAAAACCUACACGAAAUUGGAGGUGCCUUCAUUCAGUGCCAUGUGGCAACAAGAUAAUUGUCUAUCAAAAUCUGCUUCCUUUCAAUUCUGCGUACAUUUGAAUGUAUAUAAAUAUUAAUAUAAUGUUCAAUUUAAUCCAUCAAAUUUUCUGCUUUCAUUCUUCAACCUUUCAUUUUUAAUUCAUUUUAGCUCCAAACUUCUCUAUCUUCACACCAAUUUAAUCCUACAAAUAAAAUAUACUAUUAAGUACAAUCCACAAAAAUUCAUGCCCAAAAAUAACAAAUAAAAAUAAUAAAUGUGAGGCAAAUAAUGAUUUAAAAUAUGUAAUUUUGCCUCACAUCAUAUAGUAUGUGUGGAAAGCUCUCAAAUUGUGUUCAACUUAACUGAAGUAUAUGGGCUUCAUACGAUGGAGGAUAGGAAAAUGCUAUGGCAGGAUCCCAGGGAGAUACAUAUGAAUCAACAAGGGGCUUGGCUAGCACUGGGAGAUUAUAAUGCUAUACUUGAUUCUGAAGACAGAAUAAUAGGAAAUCUAGUUAGAGAAAUGGAAAUUGUGGACUUUAAUGAAUUCCUACUUGAUAGUAGUAUAAUUGAAAUGCGAUCAAGGGGUAGAAGUUUCACUUGGACUAACAGACAUAUUUCUAGAAAGAUCGAUCGAGUUCUAGUCAAUGGGGAGUGGAUGUUAAUGUUCCCACAACUAGAAGUCCACGUUAUGGACCCAAAAUUUCCAGACCAUUCUCCACUUAGAGUCCAGAUUGCUAUGGAAAACUAUGAAUACCCAAAACCUUUCAGAUUCUUGAAUUGUAUUGUCGAUCAUGAAGAGUUUUUGGGGUUGUGCAGAGAGUGUGGCUUCAUAGUAGAAGAGAAGGGUAUAUGAAAAGUGUUUGGAAAAGUCUUAAAUUGAUAUCAACUUAACAUUCUAAGACAACAGUUGGAUGAUAUCCAAACCACCAUGAGACAUCCUGAACAUGAUCAUGAUAUUUUUAGACAGGAGAACACACCUCUACAUCUUUUCAUAUCUAUUGUCAGAGGAUUGCUGCUCAUAACUACUAGCUAUCCAUCUAGCCCACGAUAGCGAAGUCUCAAAAAAAAGAUUGGCAUUAAGCUAUAACUACAAAAAUGGGACAACAUUGUUGGGAGUAUCUUAAAGAAGAAAUCUAGAAUGACUUGGCUAAAAUUAGGAGAUGCAAAUAGAUCCUUUUUUUUGCUAGCAUAAAAUCUAGAAUAUCCCAUAACAAAAUUAAGAGUCUUACUACAUCUGCUGGUAUUGUCCUACUCACACAAGAUGAGGUCAAAAAUGAGAUAAUCAACUUCUACAGAGGUGUGCUGGGAACUGCAGCUACACACUUACCUACCGUAAAUCCAAUCCUAUGCUGGAUAGACAACAUCAAUUGAAACUCAUUGAAUUUGUUACUAAGAAAGAAAUCCUAAAUGCACUUAAAGGGAUAGAGGACUCAAAAGCACCAGGAUGUAAUGGUUACAACACUUAUUUCUUUAAGAAAGCAUAGAAUGUCAUAGGCGAGGAGGUCAAAAAUGCUAUCUUGGAAUACUUCUCAACUGAAAAAUGUUUAAGGACAUAAACUAAACAAUUAUAACACUGAUUCCUAAAGUCAAGAACCCAACUAAGGUCAUUAAAUACAGGCCAAUAUCAUGUUGUACUAUUCUCUAUAAUCCCAUCUCAAAGGUUUUAACUGCUAGGAUGAGAGUGACAAUGGAUGGGCUAGUGCAUGCUAGCAAAUCUGCGUUUGUUCCAGGGAGAGUGAUCACUGAUAACAUUAUCAUGAGCCAUGAUAUCAUCAAAUGGUACGGAAGGAAACAUAUAUCCCCUAGAUGCAUGAUGAAGAUCGACAUGAAGAAAGCUUAUGAUUCUAUUGAAUGACCUUUUCUAGAGCAGGUAUUGAAAAUUAUCAAUUUCCCACCUAUAUUUGUGAAUUGGAUUAUGACAUGUGUUACCAAAGUGUCUUACUCUAUACUCAUUAAUAGUGUGCCUACUGUCCCGUUCAAUGCAAAAAAGGACCUUAGACAGGGUGAUCCCUUAUCCCCUUAUCUCUUUGUGUUGUCUAUGGAAUACUUGAAUAGACAACUACCAACUUUGAAGAACCAACUUGAUUUUAACAUUUAUCCCAAGUGUGGGAAGUUGUCCAUCACACAUCUUGGCUUUGCUGACGACUUACUACUUUUCAGUAGAGGUGAUCUAACAUUUGUUCGUAUGAUCUAUGAAUAUUUUAAUGUAUUCUCUAAUGCAUUUGGUCUGGUAACAAACAUUGAGAAGAGCUCUAUUUAAUUUGGAGGUGUACCAAUGGCUGAGCAGGAAGCAAUAUUACAGAGUUUGGUAUUUGCCAAAGGUAUCCUUCAUUUCAAAUAUCUUGGCAUCCCUCUCACAUCAAAGAAGACAAUCAUUAUCCAAUAUAAAUCACUACUAGAUAAGAUGUUGGAUAGGAUAAAAUUCUGGACAUCUAGAUUUUUGUCAUAUGCAGGUCGGGUGCAAAUGAUCAAAAAAUAUCCUAUUUUCUAUCCAAGUAUUUUGGUCGCAAGUUUUCAUCCUUCCACAAAAGGUGAUCCAAGUGGCAAUAUCAUUGUGUAAAAAGUUAUUGUGGUCUGGUGGAGCUGACACUAUAAAGACAUCAAUAAUAGCACGAGAGAAAUUAUGCAAUCUAAAAGCAGCAAGGGGAAUGGGAUUCCUAGAUAUUACAGACUGGAAUAGAGCUGCAAUUUGCAAACAUCUAUGUAACUUUUUCUUGAAGAAAUAUAGACUAUGGAUCCAAUGGAUUCACGCAUAUUAUAUCAAAGGGGGCCGAUCUAGCAUACAAAUGCCCCCAAGCAUCUUGGAUGAUAAAGAAGAUUCUUAAGGCCAAUGAUAGUGUUAAAGCUACUGGAUAUAAUGAGUAGGAAGUGGUUGCUAUAAAUAAGUUGAGUACAAAGCUAAUAUACUCUUAGUUAAGGCGAACUUAUACCAAAGUACACUUGAGAAGAAUAGUAUGUAACAAUCAUGGUGCCCCAAAAUGGAAGUUUAUAUUGUUCUUAGUUACUUUAAGGAGAUUAUUGACCAGUGAUAGACUAGCCAAAUGGAACACUAUUACUGAUGGGGUUUGGACAUAAAUAUCGAAAAAUCAAGAUAUCAAACUGAACCAAAUUUUUUUGGUAUUUCACUUUUUGGUAUGUUUUUUUGUGUUUUCAGCAUUUUAGUUCGGUUUCAGUAUGUGUUUUUGUAUUUUUGGUUUAACCAAAAUAUACAUGUAUAUUUCACUUUUCAAUUGUAACACCCCAAAAAUUUCUAAGUUAAGACUCAAAUCAUUCUUCAUUUGUAAAUAAGAUUGUACCGGAUGAUUCUUAAAUUUCUCAUGUAUGUAAAGGUCAAUUAUUUAAUGUGGAAAUGAAUUUGGAUAUGAGUUAGGUCACUAGAAUCCCCUAGCACAAAGUUGGGUUGAACGCUUCUAUACCAAUUAAGUUUUGAUGUAAGAUUCUACUUGGGUCAACUUCAAACAACCAUAUCUCUUAGAAUAUAUAGGGUUACGUGGACCAUAAUCUAUUAUAUUAAAUGUAUUUGAAUAAUCUUUCCAACGCCACCAAUUUCACAACAAUCUAAGUUCUCAGUAAAAUGUUAUGACAAUUUUAGUAACCUGAUACAGUGAAGUGAUGAAUUAGCCGACGGGAAAACAUUAAAAAGGGUUGUUUUUGUCUUUUUACCUCUAAGAAAACCCUAAACGAAUUUCUUAACUAAUUAAAGGCCCAAAAAAUCAGAUUUUCAUCUCUUAAUCCCUCAUUUUCUUCUCUCUCACCCCUAAGGCAAAACCCUAAGGAAAGAUCAAAGUAGAAUACUUUCAUUCAAGAUUCUUUCAAUCUUUUUUAAGAUUCUUUCAAUAUUUUUCAAGAUUCUUUUUCAAGGUAAGUCCUUCUCCAAGAAUUUCAUUCUUUCCAAUUCAAAUUCUUCCAUACAAUUAUGAAUCACUAAUAAAAAUUAUAAUUCUUGGCCGUAGAGAUUUCAAGAAACUAAUUCAAGAAAGGAUUUUUUGAUUGUUCUCCUUCAAGCUAGAGUUUCAAGGCUUCUGAUCAAGUUCUUCUUCAAGAUUAUUCAAGAACCUUGUUCUUCCAGGUAUGUAAGGUUAUCAUAGUGUUGGACUAGUUCUUCUUUACGCCCUACAUCUACUUUCAAAUCAGUAAAAGAGUAAUCUAGAAUUUUAUCCCUAGAUUUGAGUAUUCUUGAGAUGAGAUGAUUUUGAGUUCUUGAGUUCCUGAUUCUUUUGAAAUUCUAUUCCUAAUUAUUGAAUUGCCAUUUGUUAGGCAUUAAGAUAUAUUUCAACAUGAACGCUAUGAAUUGAGUAUUCUUGAGAUGAGUAGUAUAAUUGAGUUUUGAGUUCUUUAUUUCUGAGUAUUGAGUUUUUCAUAUUAUUAUUGAGAUCAUUGAGUUGAUUUGUUCAUGUCUAUAUUUCAGAAUGAACCCUAUUUUAAGUUAAAAAUUUUGAGAAUCUUUUAAAAUAGAUAUUUAUGCCUUAUACUGAUUUUCUGAGAAAAUAAAGAUGAGUUUUGAGAAAGAGUUUUAAUCUUGUUCUGGCAGGGUGGGCGAGACGUUGUAUCAUCACGUAGCUCAUAGUGAUGGUUAUCGGUAAGAGAAUCUACCAAAUAGAGUUAAAAGAGUAUUUUUAUUAUAUCACUUAUUAUGCUAAGUUCAAAAAUAAGUAAGUAUUUUUGUAAACUUUUAAUAAUUUCACCUCUUUAUUUCUUUACAUUUAGUUGAGUAUAUGUCUAUAUCUAUUGCACUCCUUUCAUUUAGUUAUUUGUUAUCCAGCUUGUUACGACCCGAUUUCAAAAACUAAAGGUUUCGAAACCAUUUCAUAACUUUUGCAAGUUUAUUGAUUUUUGGGAAAAAUAACAAUUUGGAAGUCGCCACUUAAUUUUUAGGAAAAAUUAAGAAUAAUAGGGGAAUAUUUGAAAGAAAACAUUUUAAAUAAAAUCAGACUCAGGUAAGGGUUCAAAUAAUUCUCUAAGGAGGGGUUUAGGCAUCUUAGAGAAUUUGCUAACACGCGAUUGACCGAUGGAUUUAAAAGCUUGGCUAAUUUUAUUAAAAAAAAAGGGUUACUUAUAAAAAUAUCUUGAUACUUCUAAAAAUCUCAAGAAUAAUCUUAACUUAAAACUUUUAUCCAUAGUCAUGUUUUGAACCAUACAAUUAAUUCAAACUCAUAAACAUGGAUUAAAGGACCUUGUUUAACAACUAUGAAAGGAUAUUAAGGAUCCUUAAGUCAUUCAUACAAAGUACUAAGUUAAAUUAAAGGACAACUAAUUUAUCUUAAGAAACUUAACAAUUUUAUCCUAUUCAAAAAUUUGAACUAAAUAGUUAGUUCAAACUCAUAAACAUGGAUUCAAAGCUUUUCAAUAACUAUGAAAGAACAUGAAAGGUUCUUUAAGUCAUUCUAUAAGCUUAAAUUACCUAACUUAAAAUGGGUUUUGGGAUUUGAAAACUUGAAUAACAAAAUAAAAAAUAUUUCUCCCAAAGAUUCAUCUAAAUUAACAAAAUAAAUGUUAGAAAUUAAUGAUAUACCGUGAGUUUACGGUAUUGUUAAUACAUUUCACUUGAGAGUUGUGUGUGUCUAGGGCCAUUCUGUAUUAGUUCUUAUGUGUUUUCUCAUGUUUUCAGGAAUAAGUUCAGAUGCGGAGAUUUGAAGACACAGCUGAAAGACGUGCAAAAACAGCAUCUACGGAGGAAACCUACAAACAAUAGGUCCAGUUACGCCCCGUAAAUGAUGGACGUCGAUGGGCAGGCAAGGCAUGGCUGAAGAUCAGGAAAUUCUCGACCAAGUGUAGAACCACGGUUGCAACUUACGAACCGUAGAUUGAUCUACGGACCGUACUGUUGCUCCGUAAAAUGUGACAGAAAUUUGGUUCCAGCACCUGAUGCUGAAAAGUCUAAGUAUGGAGCUACGGAGAGGAGUUACGGACCAAAGAUUAACUUACGGUCCGUACUGUUGAACCGUCGAAUAUAACAGAAGUUUGGAAGAUUUUGAAGAUUGAAAAAUUGCCCAAGUCCUGAGCCACGGAAAGGACCUACGGACCGUAGAUAGACUUACGGACCAUAGGUCAGUGUCGUAGAUUAAAGACGCAUCAUGUAAACUUUAUUUCCUUAUUUCGUUUCCUUUUUAGUUAGGACUUGUUUUCCUAUAAAUAGGGUACGUAAACCUCGUUUUUGGGGUUAGACUUUAUUACUUUUAUUCUAGUUCUUGACUUGGGAGAUCAACUUGCAACUUUAGCAAUACUUAAUUUUCUAAGUUCGUUUUGAAGAUUUUGGUGUUGAAAUUCAAGUUGAAGUCUGGGUUUAUUAUUCUUGUUACGUAAGUUCAUGAUUUCUUCUUCUAAAACUAUGAAUCGUGUUCUUGCUAAUACGGGUAACUAAAUCCACAACUAGGGUUGUGGAACCAUGAGCGAUUAACAAAGUGUUGUUGCAUGCAUUAGUAAUUCUUUCGUUUAGAAGUCUUUUUAACGAGAGCAUGUGUUAAAACUCGCCUUGUUGCUACUUGCCGGACCAAGGAGGUAGUUAAUAAGAAAAGAAUUAUCAACAUAGAUUUAGUGUGAUACUAUCUAAUAGAAUUAAUGUCGAUUGGUGCGAGGGUGAAAACUAAGUCAUACAUCGAUGUGACGUCUAAUAUGAGGUAAUGGUAAGGGUUAGUAAAUGAUACACACGUAGCCGGACCAAGGUGCGGGGUGAAAUUCUCUAGAUGCCGGGCCAAGGAUUUAGAUACACAUAACUUAUUGUUUUGCAUGUAAUACACUAGGAAGAGAUUGCUAUUACUAGGAUUACAGAGUUAUGAGCUUAUGGGGAACACGUACUCCCUAGUUUCUUUCUCAAUUUGAUAACAACAAAAGUUUAAAUCUUGCUUACUAAUUACUUUCAUAACUUCCAAAAUUUGUUACACAAAUCCCCCCCCCCUUUUACUUAUUUGUCUCGGAAAUACAUUUGCUAAACGAAUAUAAUCGUUAUUGAACUUAAGUAUAAAUCAUAUUCCUCGUGAAAUUGACCCCAACCUACAAGUUGGGUUCUUUACGUGAUAACGAUCGCUUAUGCUUCUGAAAAGAGGUGUAAUUUGAGCGUAUCAAUUAACGGCAAUUAUCACAAAAUCACAAUAUAAGAAGAAUAAAAGGGCGAAUAGAACUUGGACAAUUUUAAGUACACUUACUGCUUCUUAUUUGCUGCUGCUGGUGCUAAAAUGAUAUUUCCAGCCUUUUGAGACUACUGAAACUGGUGCAAAAACCAAGUGUUCUAAUUUCGGCCAAUUUGAACCGAAAACACUCUCAUUUCAGCUCUUUUGUGCCCCUGUUGCUGCUUCUGAUUUUGGGUUUUUAACCCAAUUUCGCUUCUCAUUUCUCAGCCUUUCAAGGCUGCUGUAGUGGCUGGCUCUUAGGUUUUAUCCCAGUAAUAUUAACCUCCUUUCAAUUGGCUUAAAGGAGGUUGACUCGAGGAGAGGAGUAUGCAAGAAUAGGAGUCCAAUUGGACUCAAACGAGAGAGUUCAUGCCAAGGAAAAAAGGGAAAAAGAUUAACAACAUUUGAAUGAUAUCAACUUGAGCUUAAAACAAACAAUGUCAUGUGAGCUCAAAACUCUAAUUGGCAUGUUUAUCAUGGCUAAAAUUAUACCAAACUUAACCAUAUACUACUAUCGAUCACAGAAAAAAUAAAGAUAAAGCAAAUAUAAAUUAGAGAAAAGAACUAUAUCAAGUAAAUAUGAACUUACUGCUUAAGGAAACAAGCUGAUGUCAACAUGAAUUAAUUUAAGACAUGACACAGAUAGCCAUAUUCAAACACAGCAAUAAAGAAAAAACUACCAAGAGCAAGCAAAACUCUAUCUAGAGUUACUGAACCAGAAUUACAACAAAGAACAUCUAAGGGCAAUCAAGGGUAGCACUUGAAGAUUUACGGCAGUUGAGGUUAGAUUAACUACAAACAGUAAAGAAAAGAGUGGUAUAUUUGCACCUAAAAUCAGUAAAUGAACACGAGAACAUAUUUAUAAUAUUGUCAAAAUUAUUUGAACACCACAUAAUUUCAUAAGCAAUUUAGAAUCUGUGUAUAAAAUAACAUUUCCAAGAUGGAGGCACUUAACAACAAUAGGCAGCCACAACUUAAUUAUGACAACAACUAAACAGAGGUUUCUUACUCCUACUUUAACACAACCUUUGAUCAAACCAAAAAGGAGUUUGAAACAGAUUCAAGUAUAGUUUAAAGAUAAACAACUUUAGACUCAACUUGAUCAAGUUUUAAGCCAAUUCAUUUAGCAUAUACGAAAGGCAAACAAGAAAGAGCAAGGAGAUAUAAAAUAACUUAGAGAAUUUAAACAAGGAUCUAAGUAGAGUAAUCUAAUAAAUUUUAGGACGUAUAAAAGCUAUGAUAUGAGCUUUCAUCCAUCCCAGCCUAACUCUUUGGAGAGUGUUAAAGAGCAGCCCCAAAGGUAAGCAAUUUCUCACUCAGACAGGCUCUCGAUUGGCAUUGAAAGCCAAUGGUCUGUUAUUUGACAAAUCACACCAACAGAUUUUACAAAAUAGACAGACAUAGAUGACAUUCAACAACGAAUACAGGCUUCAAAGAAAAAAAAACAGAAGAUGAAAACCUUAAAACUGAUAAAACUAAACUCCAUAUUUCAGAUUUUCAUUACCACUUAGAUAGGUUAAUCAAUCAAGAUAAACUAGAUACUUCAAAAGCCUUUCCAAAUCAAAAUGAAUUCAAGUUACAAAAUCCAACCUAAUAGCUAGGAAUGCUUGAACAUGAAAAUCACAACUCUAACUCUAUUCAACACUAAUUAAACUUAUCCCAAGACAAUAGCAAAUGCUGAAAUUAAGGCAUGACUAUCCUACAUAUAAAUUAACCGAGUUCAAAGAUGAGCAAUUUUGCUAUUUUUUUUAAUCUAUUAGAAAAAUACUUAAACAGCUAAUGCCAAACACAUUUCAAUGAACAAGACAUAAUUAAGAGCCAACAUAAAUGUUGAAAUAAAGAGAAGAUUACCUGGUUGUGGGCAGCGAACCGGACGAUGAGUUUGACGGAGACGGUUCCACUACCUCUUUCAACUCGAAUGAUCACAAAAGCCACAAAACUUUAAACUAUUGAGCCGAGAAUUCCCAAACCCUUUUGGGGUACUCUCAAUCUCCAAAAACCGUCCCUUUGAACAGUGAAUGGGGUUGGUUUAUAUAAAAACCAAAAAAAAUUCCAAAAUGGAAGAAAUCUCGAUAUGGGACUGUUGCAAAUUGAAAAUCGUUUGAGAAACGAUGUGGGUGAGGCCGAAAUCUCCAAUUUUCGCAGUGGAUAAGGUGUAUGAGCUGGGGAGUGUACGAAUUUGAAAUGAAAAUGAAGAGAAAAAGGAAAUUGGAAUGGACCACACCAUGGUUGCCUCCGGAAGCUCCGAGUGUCUUUAGGCUCGUGCUAAGCACGCAGAUUGUACGAAUAUGAAGUAAAAAAGGGGAAAUUUAAGGCGGCAAAUUUGGGAAUGGGUUCGUUCUUUGGUUUGUUCUGUUCUCGCGUCUCUGUAUUGAGAAUGAGAAGGAGAAGAGCAUGGAGGAUUUUGGGCUUAAGAAUGGGCCGG